GUCGUGGUCACUGUGACAUCAAGAUCAAACUCCAGCCCAACCCAACUGACGCCCGCUGCCCCGCUGUCCCCAGGGUGUGUUUUGGGUGACUGUGCUGGCCAGGCGCCUUGUUCACCCGUGCCAUCAGGAUCACCUGCUGCCCCUGGGGGAAGAGUGGAAUGGAAGGGUGGUUGUACAGCUGCCUCAUAGCAUCCACAGGGGCUAAGAACAGAGAUCCCCGCACAUUGAUGAAAUCCAUAAAUUUCAAAAAUGCCAUAUACUCAUCAUGCUGAGCAAGUCCAUUACACCGGAAGCCAAACCAAGAGUGUGGCUGUGCCGCGAGGCAAGUAGUGGUCAGCGGCUGCAUCCCCCCCAGCCGUCUGUGUGUUGGCUUGGUGUGUCUUGAGCAUUUUGAGGUCCCCUCCUGGUAAUCCAGAAAACUUGAUUGUCCAGACUCCAGAGGGUCCAUGAUCCCCUGCAUUUGAGAUUAAAGGAUUUUUACUUUUCUAAUACAAAUUACAUUCAGUAAAAGUCCUUUAAUCCAGAAUGCUAGGGGUCAUGGACCCUCUGGAUUGUCCAGAUUAUAUGGAGGCAACCUUAAAAUGUUCAAAACUUACCGUGCCAACACACAGACACAGUCGAUGGACCUUAAUACUCAGCAGGAUGCUGAUGUUGACACUGCCUGCCCUGCCCCAGAGCCCCGCCCUCACUGCAGGACACCAAGAAGGUGCACAUACAUGUGUACACACAUACACAUAGUUGACAUAACCCAGACAUAAUGCCUUACAAUUCUUUACAAUUACUUUUACAAUGAGGUGGCAAAGGCGAGGUAGUGACGGUGAACCAUUGCAGGCGGCAGCUGUCCACUUGGGAGCUCUGCCUUGUACAACUGCCCAAAGUACUCGCUCAGCCCAGUGAGCUUGGUACCCUUCUGCAUCUGAUCUGAACUCGAUACCCUUCUGCAUCUGAUACUAUCUGCCCAUCAGCGGUUCAGAUAGUACUCAUCUCAGCUCGGAAGGUAGGCAUUUAGACAACCCUCAGCAUCCUCACCAGGACCUCUGACAUAUCUCUCAUUAUCCCUCAGAAGGGUUCUAGUCUUUUAUGACAGAGUCCUGUAUUGAUCAAAGUCCCCAGCCAGCCUGGCAGCACUACACUCCUCUAUAUUAAUACUCCAUUGUCUCCCUCGAGACAACUUCACUCCUAGGUCUUGGGUGCUCCUUAAUGCACUCCUCAGCAGCUUUAAGAGUUUCACAUUUAAAGGUAUCCCACAACUCCCCAGGGUCCUCCAGAGUACCAAGCAUCUCAAACUGAUUUGAAACUGCCACUGCAUUCCUGAGCACACAACUGGUCCCUCAAUUUCUCAAGAUGGAACCCCGGAGGGUUGUAUCUUGAGGUUUUCUUGUACCUGAUGCAUAUCCUCAGUUUUGCAACAAGCAUGAGGUUGGUUGCAUGGAACUCACCUCUGGGAAACCGUACAGUUCUGGAGGAUCCUCAACAAGUACCAUAGUCGGUGUCACAUUACCUGGCAUGGAACUUUUUAAGGAGGGACUUGUGGACUUGGCAUCAUUGCUUGGGUGGUGGUCUCACACACUCAUCGGCCUAUUCUCAACUCGUUUUAGUGUGCAGCAAAUGGACUCAUAUUCCUACCAAAACACUUUUUUGGAUCAUAAGGUACCAAAUUAUACUGAUAAGAAUUAAUUCAACAUCAGCUUUAUUGUAAGAUGUGUGUCUCAAACUAUUAAGGAUACAUCUGAAUGACACUUGUAGUAAACUAAAUCAGAACUGCACGUACACAGACAGCAUCAGCGACAGAAGCAGCAACUUUAAAAUUUGGGAGGCCUGUAAAGGCUGGAUUUUUUCCCUACUUCCAUUACUACUACGAAGUGCCAGUCAACAAUGCCCUUCAUUAACUCAUCUAUUGUAAGAUUUCUUGUUAUUAUUUUAGUCCAAGCUUUGUUGUAGUGUGUAGUGAUGCUAUGUAGUCAUAUAUAAACAUUGCCUUAAGACAAAUACCUUCUCUUCUCUCUCAUCCUGAGAUGUAUUUCCAUUAUUUCUAGGUAACUAAUGGCCAUAAGGAACAGCAAACAAAGAAUAAUUACAUUUAAAUACCAUCAGUGGUGAUCGAGAGAGGUACCAAAGGAUGUGAGACAGUAGGCUAUGUUAACUAAAAUAGAAUUGGCUGCACAUUAAAACAAGUUAAGAAUAGUCCAAUGAGUGGCACAGAGACUAUCACCAAAGUAAUGAUGCAAUGACCGCAAGUCCCUCCCGAAAAGGUUUUCUGCACCAGGUUAUGUGACACCAACUAUAAGAGAUAUGAAGCACAAGGUGUGCUUCAACUUCUCCAGCAUCAUAUGCUCAUCACCUGGAGUAAUCCCAACAACAGGGGACUGCAAGAGGCUCGGAAUGUUACAGCCACCAACACGGAGGGCUCCCUGGAGGAUAACUCCAGGCCUGGCUUGACAGGCUUGUACCACAUAUGCACCACCCUGGCAGUCCUCAAGAAAAGGGAGAGGGAGUGGUUGGCAGAUCAGUGGUGGUUCCUGGUUCUGAAGACGUGACCUUCACCGCUGGACUUGGUAUAGCAAUGCUGGCAGUGUGGUAAAGAAGAUUGGUCACAUCCUUGUUAGUACUGAUUGGGGAAUCCUCCAGAACUAGGGUUUUCCGGAGUGCCGAGUUCUUUGCAACUGUCUACAGCCUUUUUGUUGUAAUGCAUUAGGUCCAAGAAAGUUUCCAGAUGCAACCCUCUGGGAUUCCAUCUUGAGAAACUGAGAGACCAAAUGUGUGCCCAGGAGUAUGCAGUGGCAGUCUCAAAUCAGUUUGAGGUGCUUGUUGCUUUGGAGGACCCUGGAGAGUUGUGAGAUAUCUUCAAACAUGAAACUCUCAAAGCUGCAGAGGAGUGCAUUAGAGAGCGCCCAAGAUGUAGGAGUGGAGUUGUCUUGAGGGAGACACAGGAGAAUGUAGAGGAGAGUCGUGCUGCCAGGCUGUCUGGGGACUCAGGGUGAUACAGGACUUUGUCACAAAGGACUAGAACCCUUCCAAGGAAGAAUAAGGAGAGGUAUGCCAGAGGCUUCACUGAGGAAGUUAUUGGUUGUCUAAAUGCAAAUGACCUUAGGCUUGCCCUCCAAACUCCAAAUACACAUCUCAGAUUAGUAGUAUCCGAACGGCUGAUGGGCAGAUAGUAUCAGAUGUGGAUGGGUACCCGGCUUGUUGGGCCGAGUACUUUGGGCAGUUGCACACGAUAGAGACUCAAAGUAGACAGCUUCCUCUGGUUGGUUUACACAUGGCAGCUGCUGAUGCACUGAUAGAUGAAACUCCAGCCUCUCUUGCUGAGGUGAGAGAGGUGGUGUGGAAGUUGAAGGCUAGAAAGGCAGCUGAGGUCUGUAAUAUCAGUGCAGAGGUGUUGAAAGCUGGGGGUUAAGCCAUGAUCCAUGGGUUGCAUCAUGCAGUGCUGUCCACCAUGUGGCAGUCUGGUACCAUUCCUCCUGACUGGAAUGUGGGAGUGGGUUGUCCCUAUCUGGAAAAGGAAAGGGAACAGACAGGACUACAACAUUUACAGUGGUAUUACAGUGCUGGGCAAAAUGUUCACUCAUCUGCUACUUAUAUUAAUUAAAUCUCAUCUGCUACUUAUGUUAAUUAAAUCUCAUCUGCUAAAGUUUCAGAGACCUGAGCAGUUCGGCUUCAAGCCCAGCAGGUCAACAAUCGCCUGGAUCCUAGUACUUCGUGUCCUUGUGGAAUGUCAACUCGAGUUCGGACAGGGGUUACUCACAGCCUAUGUCAAUCUCAUGAAGGCUUUGGACUCAGGGCAUUGUGAGGCACUCUUGGACAUUUUGCAGAGCUAUGGAAUUUUUACAAGGAUUGUUGACCUGAUGGCUGGCCUUUACUCUGUAAUGAGAGUGCUAUGAAGUGUGGGGGAAGGCAUAUCUGGAUUCUUCCCUCUUAAUUUUUGAUAGAAAUCAAAGUAUUCUCAUUUGUAUUCGAAUACAAAGGAAAAGUAUUCAUAUUUUGCUAAUAAUCUGACGAAUACUUCAAAAUUUAUUACAAGAAAUAAUAGCCGUUGUUCCUUACAACUCUAGCCUCCUGGGCAGACGUGUGAUCAUCAUAUACAGUGCAGGUUCAUGAGCACAUUUUACUGUUGCAUAACUUUAGAACAGUUUUAUAUCCAGGUACCCUUAAAUCGACGCAGGGCCAGUGUAACAUGCUGGUCACCACAGUUUACCUUUUCCAGGCUUCCCCAGGCACUCAUUUAUCAACCCUCCUGAAGGGAAGGAGGAGCAGGUGGGUGGGCUGCAUGCCACAAGCCAGGAUUGGAACCCAGGCUCGUAGAUUUGUAGUCAGGGAUGUUAACCACUGCACCUUGGAGGUGUGCAUGCAUAAAUCAGUCUAAAAUAUCAUGAGUAGCAUUGUUCAUCAGCUAUAUGUACUAUAAACUGUACUGAAAUUUAUAUAAACUUAUUACAUAUUCGUAGUCAUUGAAAUCUCAUUUAACUGUUGGGUCCUCACUACGAAGUCUCUGCCAUUUUCUUUUUCAAAUUUAGGUGCUUAAAAUAUCAUACCAUGCAAAUUAUAUACUACUGACUGCUUCUUUCUAUAGAAAUCAGGUGAUAAAGAUGUGAAAUGGGUAUAGACACUAGAUCAUAACUGCAAGCAGCUGAUCAGCUGGUAAACAAACAGGUCCUGUCGGUGGUAGGACUGGACAGCAAUAUUAACAGUACUGCUCAGUACUUGUAGCAGUGGGUACCACCAGUGCAGUAUUCAGUAUUUUUAUACUGACAGGUCAUCAUUCGCUUAUAUGUAGGCAUGUGAUGACCUAUUAAUGCUCACCAGUAUUGGUACUGGGCAGUCUGGUUCCAUUACCAUGUUAUAUAGCAGGUACAGUUUCACUAUUUGCAGGGGUCCAUGUCCCUUAACCCCUGUGAAUAAGGGGGGACAGGUGUGUAUGGUUUUGUUGAUGUCUAUGGAAAGAUCAGAAUCUUCAAGUCACUUGUGCUUUCUGUUUUACUCAUGUCGCUGAAAUAUGGACACCAAAUAGUGACUUGGAGAGGCUUGUCAUUGCCUUUGGUAUCAAGUGCCUUCACAGGAUCAUCAGGUAUUGCUGGAAUGACUUCUUUUCAAACCAGCAACUACUUGAUUAAACCGAAUCAAUGCCUGUUACCAGCUUAUUCUUUGAAUGCCAACUCCUACUAUAUGGGCACAAGGCACUCUUCCUGGACAUUGGUCCUGCUCGCAGGGUCGUUUCUCUAUGAAACAACUCUGAGCGGAGGAGACCAAGGGGGCAGCCACUUAAUGCAUGGCUGGGGUAUGUUGAUUGAUCCUGCCAAGAGGGACUUGAAAUGGAAGGGUAGCUUCAUGGAGGCUUGGUUGGGAAAACUGUCAGGAGUGGAAUUGGUGGGUGAGUGAGGCAAUGUGCUGCCUGACGCAUGUUCCCCAUUAGUCAGUUUGUUACUCCCAUCCUCGAAACUGGUCUCUGUGCACAAGUUUUUACUCUAUUCUCUGAAGCUCAUCUAUGUUGUGUAAUACUGACUUUAAUUCUUCAUUACUGGAUAGUGGAUUGAUCAUGGAUUGGGAUUGUAUUGAAAAGUACAAAUUGCCAAGAAACUGCAUUAAUUUUAAGAUGAAGACAUAUAAGCUAUGUUCUCAUUAUUUUUUCAUUCAUUCUGAUUUUUCCUAGAAUCAUUUAGCUACUCUAAUGUGUAUGUUGAAAUGUGAUGGAGAAAUCUCUCCUAAAAUACGAUGAUGUUGUUAGAUUUCAUAAAAUAUAAAUAUGGAGGGAGCAUCCAUCAUAUAGCAGUGCCUUCACACCAUAGGCAUAUGCAGGCAUGAUGCAGUGGUUAGCAGGCUGAGCUCAGAAGCAAAAGGUCCUGUGUUUGAUUCCUGGAUGGAGUGAGAGGGACAGGCAAUCUCCUUAGCCCUGUACCCACGUUAAUUCAGCAGUGAAUGGAUGCCGGGUGUCAGCCAGGGGUUGUGUCCUGCCUCCCAAGGGUGGUGGUCUGCCACUGCUGAAGAGAUGACCUGGGUGGUGCAGAUGUGGGGCGUGUAUCACUUGCCCACAGUACAAGGCCUGGGAUUAAUCUUCAGAAGGCUCUGUGAAUGGUCUCCUGAAAUGCCGUGAGCCUUUCGCAGGAUCACCAACGGCGUUACCAAGCUAAUGAACUCAGAAAACCGAGAGUGGAUAUAGUGUGACUUAAGAAAAGGAGGCCUGGGAAUGGUAAGAUCAGAAGUACCUACUACUGGUCCAGCACAACGUUGCCAGGUUGUCGUACUCUGCCUCUUAUGUUUGCCGAUUUCCGACCCCAAAACUGCUUUCAUCACCCAAAUAACUGCUUUCAUAUAUGGUUAUCGUUUAAAUGGUUAAUUAUUGGUGCUUCUUGGCAACAUUUAUGGCCCAGAAACGGUAAAUACACGGCUCUGAGUACGAUAAUCUGGCAAUGGUGGUCCAGCAUGGGCAAUAGUACCAGUCUUACAGGGGUAGCUAUAGACAUCUCUAGCCAACGACAACCAUUUUUUGUGGUUGAGGUUUUUCCCACAGGUAAGGUAAAGGUAAAGUUGGGGGCAUACACUGUAGCAGAGUGUGGCCUCAGUGCUCAUCUCUGUAACAUUGGCCCUUGAGCAUGUGGUGGGAGGGAGCCCAUUACCCCGGGACACAGGGCCAGUGUGACAUCCGGGUUACCACAGUUUACCUUCCCCAGGUUUCCCCAGGUACCCAUUUAUUGACCAGCCCAAGAGGGAGGAUAAACAGCUGGGUGAGCUGCACGCCGACUGCCCGGGCCGGGAUUCGAACCCGGGCCCAUGGAGUAGAAGCCAGGCACGCUAACCACUAGGCCACGGAGGUGUAUUCCCACAGGAAUACAUGUAAAUAGAGAAGUUUGGUUCCUUACUUCCACCUUGACCCAGGAAAAAUUUAAUAAUAAUUUAAAAAUAUGAUCUUAUAUUUUACACCUCACUAAGAGUUGUAAAAUUAGCAUGGCAGAGUGUGCAUGUGAAGUUUACCAUCUGCUUGAUUGGCUACAAGCAAUACCAGUCACCAGGCAGGGGAAAGCAUGUCUGUCUGCAGUUUGUAAUAUUACUGUAGUAUUUUUAUUGAAAUAAAUUUACACAACUCACCUAAUUGCUGUUUUGUCUUAAUUCCAUGCCAGAAUAUUUCCCAUCUUAGUUACCAUUGAGUCUCAUGUAAAGUGCUUGGGCUCAUGCUAAUAGAGGUUGGAUGCUUCAUUUCCUGCUACAAAAUCAUUGACACACAUUGACACAUAUGCCUCAGAAUCUAUAAAUUUUGCUCUUGUGGUGUGGCCAAUAUUCCAUGCCUGUGAUUAACUUUUAUUUAGCAGUUGAGGUCUUGGUUUUUGAGCCAUGGCAGUAAUGGUUCUCAUAAUCAACUCAGCAGGACACAGAGUAGGUGUGGAGCAGAACCUUUCCCUCUACUAGCUACCAGCAUCACCAACUGGCAGGCAGGCAUCCAUUUUGAAAAUUAUAUUUUGCACAAAAAUUGAAAACUAAUUUUGAAAAGACAUGGAUUGCAUGUCAAACAAUGAAAAAGGGUAGGUGUUUUUAAAUGUCAUAAGAGUGGAAUCCUGAAUAAUGGGCAAUGCAGGGAAGAGCCUAAAUGGUCUUAUGACGACAGCUGAGUUCAACAGUUUACCUCAGAGCCUCCAACACUGUAGGGACUCGUACGCACACAUCGUGGAAAAGCAUAUCAGUAUCUGAGCCUGGGGAAAGUGACUACUAUAUCUUAAUGGAAAUAGACAAAUGUCCUGAUAGAAGAAUGGAACAAAUUAUAUAGAAAUAAGGUACCUAAUUAUACCUUGAUUUUUUUAUUUACAUAAACUUUAUGAAAAGAAAACAGGUGUUCAGAUUUUUUUUUUUU